UACGUAGGGGGCUAGCGUUGUCCGGAAUCAUUGGGCGUAAAGCGCGUGUAGGCGGUUCGGUAAGUCCGCUGUGAAAGUCGGGGGCUCAACCCUCGGAAGCCGGUGGAUACUGUCGAGCUAGAGUACGGAAGAGGCGAGUGGAAUUCCUGGUGUAGCGGUGAAAUGCGCAGAUAUCAGGAGGAACACCGAUGGCGAAGGCAGCUCGCUGGGACGGUACUGACGCUGAGACGCGAAAGCGUGGGGAGCAAACAGG
rnacentral:rRNA from 1 species